CUAAGGCUCCAGAGGAAGCCACGGCUAACUCUGUGCCAGCAGCCGCGGUAAUACAGAGGCGGCAAGCGUUGUUCGGAAUUAUUGGGCGUAAAGAGCACGUAGGCGGCCUUGCAAGUCAGUUGUGAAAGCCUUCCGCUUAACGGAAGAAUGCCAGCUGAUACUACAGGGCUUGAGUACGGGAGGGGAGAGUGGAACUUCUGGUGGAGCGGUGAAAUGCGUAGAUAUCAGAAGGAACGCCGGCGGCGAAAGCGACUCUCUGGCCCGAAACUGACGCUGAGUGUGCGAAAGCUAGGGGAGCAAACGGGAUUAGACACCCCGGUAGUCCUAGCCGUAAA
rnacentral:rRNA from 1 species